AGCGAACGCUGGCGGCAGGCCUAACACAUGCAAGUCGAACGGCAGCACAGUAAGAGCUUGCUCUUACGGGGGGCGGGUGGCGGACGGGUGACGUAUACAUCGUAAUCUACUCUUUCGUGGGGGAUAACGUAGGGAAACUUACUCUAAUACCGCAUAUGACCUAGGGUGGAAAGCAGUGGAUCUUCUCACCUGGCGCGAUUGAACGAGCCGAUGUCGGACUAGCUAGUGGGCGGGGGAAAGGCCCACCAAGUCGCCGAUCCGUAGCCUGUCUGAGAGGAUGGUCAGCGACACUGGAGCUGAGACACGGUCCAGACUCCUAAGGGAGGCAGCAGUGGGGAAUAUUAGGCAAUGGGCGCGAGCCUGAUACAGCGAUACCGCGUGGGUGACGAAGGCCUUCGGGUUGUAAAGCCCUUUUGUUGGGAGAGAAAAGCAGCAGGUUAAUACGCAGCUGUACUGACGGUACCGAGAGAAUAAGCACCGGCUAACUUCGUG
rnacentral:rRNA from 1 species